GACGAACGCUGGCGGCGUGCCUAAUACAUGCAAGUCGAACGCACAGUUUAUACCGUAGCUUGCUACACCAUAAACUGUGAGUUGCGAACGGGUGAGUAACGCGUAGGUAACCUGCCUGGUAGCGGGGGAUAACUAUUGGAAACGAUAGCUAAUACCGCAUAAUAUUGAUUAUUGCAUGAUAAUUGAUUGAAAGAUGCUAUUGCAUCACUACCAGAUGGCCCUGCGUUGUAUUAGCUAGUAGGUGAGGUAACGGCUCACCUAGGCGACGAUACAUAGCCGACCUGGGGGGGUGGUCGGCCACACUGGGACUGAGACACGGCCCAGACUCCUACGGGGGGCAGCAGGAGGGGAUCUUCGGCAAUGGAGGGAAGUCUGACCGAGCAACGCCGCGUGAGGGAAGAAGGGUUUCGGAUCGUAAAGCUCUGUUGUAAGGGAAGAACGGGUGUGAGAGUGGAAAGUUCACACUGUGACGGUAUCUUACCAGAAAGGGACGGCUAACUACGUG
rnacentral:rRNA from 1 species